rnacentral:rRNA from 1 species
AGUGAACGCUGGCGGUGGGCCUAACACAUGCAAGUCGAACGGCAGCACAGUAAGAGCUUGCUCUUACGGGUGGCGAGUGGCGGACGGGUGAGGAAUACAUCGGAAUCUACUUUUUCGUGGGGGAUAACGUAGGGAAACUUACGCUAAUACCGCAUACGACCUACGGGUGAAAGCAGGGGAUCUUCGGACCUUGCGCGAUUGAAUGAGCCGAUGUCGGAUUAGCUAGUUGGCGGGGUAAAGGCCCACCAAGGCGACGAUCCGUAGCUGGUCUGAGAGGAUGGGCAGCCACACUGGAACUGAGACACGGUCCAGACUCCUACGGGAGGCAGCAGUGGGGAAUAUUGGACAAUGGGCGCAAGCCUGAUCCAGCCAUACCGCGUGGGUGAAGAAGGCCUUCGGGUUGUAAAGCCCUUUUGUUGGGAAAGAAAAGCUGCAGGUUAACACCCCGCUGUUCUGACGGUACCCAAAGAAUAAGCACCGGCUAACUUCGUG